rnacentral:rRNA from 1 species
UACGUAGGGGGCAAGCGUUGUCCGGAAUCAUUGGGCGUAAAGAGCGCGUAGGCGGCCCAGUAAGUCCGCUCUGAAAGUCAGGGGCUCAACCCCUGAAUGCGGGUGGAUACUGCUGGGCUAGAGUCCGGAAGAGGCGAGUGGAAUUCCUGGUGUAGCGGUGAAAUGCGCAGAUAUCGGGAGGAACACCUAUGGCGAAGGCAGCUCGCUGGGACGUUACUGACGCUGAGACGCGAAAGCGUGGGGAGCAAACAGG